GUCUAUGGCCAUGCUACCCUGAACAAGCUGAAUCCUCUCUGGUCUCAGAAGCUAAGCAGGGUUGGGCCUGGUUAGUACUUGGAUGGGAGACCACCUAGGAACACCAGGUGCUACAGACA
rnacentral:rRNA from 1 species